GUUGGGUGCAGUGGUGUGUACCUGUAGUCCCAGCUACUUGGGAAGCUGAGACAGGAGAAUCACUUAAGCCCAGGAGUUUGAGGCUAUAGUACACUAUAAUCGUGUUUGUGAAUAGCCACUAUACUCUAACCUGGGCAACAUAGUGAGACCCCAUCUCUA
rnacentral:SRP_RNA from 1 species